rnacentral:rRNA from 1 species
GAUAAACGCUGGCGGCGCACAUAAGACAUGCAAGUUGAACGGACUUAAUCGAAAUAUUUAUAUUUUGAAGCGGUUAGUGGCGGACUGGUGAGUAACGCGUAAGGAACCUGCCUAUUAGAGGGGAAUAACAGUGAGAAAUCAUUGCUAAUACCGCAUAUGCCAUAGAUAUCACAUGAUAACAGUGGGAAAGGAGCAAUCCGCUAAUAGAUGGCCUUGCGUCUGAUUAGAUAGUUGGUGGGGUAACGGCCUACCAAGUCGACGAUCAGUAGCCGGACUGAGAGGUUGCACGGCCACAUUGUGACUGAGAUACGGCCCAGACUCCUACGGGAGGCAGCAGUCGGGUAUAUUGCGCAAUGGAGGAAACUCUGACGCAGUGACGCCGCGUAUAGGAAGAAGGUUUUCGGAUUGUAAACUAUUGUCGUUAGGGAAGAGAAAGGACAGUACCUAAGGAGGAAGCUCCGGCUAACUACGUG